CCUACGGGAGGCAGCAGUAGGGAAUCUUUCACAAUGGACGAAAGUCUGAAGGAGCAACGCCGCGUGAGUGAAGAAGGGUUUCGGAUUGUAAAGCUCUGUUGGUAGUGAAGAAAGAUACGGUAAGUAACUGGUCCUUACUUGACCGUAAUUAUGUAGAAAGUCCCGGCUAACGACGUGUGAGCAGCUGAGGUAAUACGUAGGUGCGAAGCGUGGGCGGGAUUGAAUGGGCGUAAGGGGAGUGAAGGCGGGUAAAUAAGUCUGAUGUGAAAGCCUGCGGCUCAACCGGAGAAUUGCAUCUGAAACUGUUGGACUUGAGUGUAGAAGAGGGAGGUGGAACUCCAGGUGUAGCGGUGAAAUGCGUAGAUAUAAGGAAGAACACCCGUGGCGAAGGCGGCUCGCUAGGCUGCAACUGACGCUGAGGCUCGAAAGCAUGGGUAGCAAACAGGAUUAGAUACCCGAGUAGUC
rnacentral:rRNA from 1 species